rnacentral:lncRNA from 1 species
GGCACAAUAGGCCUCAGCUCCUCUGUCUCUUCUGUGUCCAGCAGGAGCCCGCGGUGAUUCAUUGCGCCAAUUAGGGACUCUGCAGCCCGUAGCUCGGGCUGUGUGAAGGGUCUCCUUUGGGACCCACGAAACCCAUCAGCCGCUGCCGCUGAUCUUUAAGGAAAGGUCAAGCAGGACGCGCUAGUGCCAGGCUGUGCCUCUGACCCCAUUGCUGCUGUCACCGCCAUCACACUGUCACCAUCCUUCCCUGACAUCAACUCCGACUUCAUCAGCCUCCAGCAUGGACUGAAGAUCAGGGACAUCCCAUAAUCCUCCAGGCCUUCGGCUCCCAUACCUCUUGGCUUCUCAGCCUCUCCAGCAGAACCUCCAGCACAGUGGCUGGCUGAACUUGACCCUUGGCAGGUUGAGGAGUUUCCAUCUGAGGCAAAAGCUGCUGGUGUUUUCCUGCAUAUCCAGUCCACGUCUUCUGUUGACAGCGAGGCUUGUGGAAUGGACAGCCGUGAAUGGAAGGGACUCUAAGCCCAGGGAGGUGUGCACACUUCCUGCACACUAGACAAGGUCAGCAAUACUCAGAAACGGUUCCCGCUGAAGGAGAAACACAUUUAAAAGUGCAGCCCGCCUACACCCCAGCCCAGUGGUUCUCAGCCUUUCUUAUGCUGCGACCCUCUAAUAUAAGUUCCUCAUGUUGUGGUGACCCCCAACCAUGCAAUUGUUUUGUUUUGCUUUACAACUGUUAAUUCUGCAAUUACUUAU